GCUCAGUAACACGUGGAUAACCUACCCUUAGGACUGGGAUAACCUUGGGAAACUGAGGAUAAUACCGGAUAGGCAAUUAUUCCUGUAAUGGUUUUUUGUUUAAAUGUUUUUUCGCCUAAGGAUGGGUCUGCGGCCGAUUAGGUAGUUGGUUAGGUAAUGGCUUACCAAGCCGUUGAUCGGUACGGGUUGUGAGAGCAAGAGCCCGGAGAUGGAACCUGAGACAAGGUUCCAGGCCCUACGGGGUGCAGCAGGCGCGAAACCUCCGCAAUGUGAGAAAUCGCGACGGGGGGAUCCCAAGUGCCAUUCUUAACGGGAUGGCUUUUCAUUAGUGUAAAGAGCUUUUGGAAUAAGAGCUGGGCAAGACCGGUGCCAGCCGCCGCGGUAACACCGGCAGCUCUAGUGGUAACAAUUUUUAUUGGGCCUAAAGCGUCCGUAGCCGGUUUAAUAAGUCUCUGGUGAAAUCCUGUAGCUUAACUGUGGGAAUUGCUGGAGAUACUAUUAGACUUGAGACCGGGAGAGGUUAGAGGUACUCCCAGGGUAGAGGUGAAAUUCUGUAAUCCUGGGAGGACCGCCUGUUGCGAAGGCGUCUAACUGGAACGGUUCUGACGGUGAGGGACGAAAGUUAGGGGCGCGAACCGGAUUAGAUACCCGGGUAGUCCUAACUGUAAACGAUGCGGACUUGGUGUUGGGGUGGCUUUGAGCUGUCUCAGUGCCGAAGGGAAGCUGUUAAGUCCGCCGCCUGGGAAGUACGGUCGCAAGACUGAAACUUAAAGGAACUGGCGGGGGAGCACCACAACGCGUGGAGCCUGCGGUUUAAUUGGAUUCAACGCCGGACAUCUCACCAGAGGCGACAGCUGUAUGAUAGCCAGGUUGAUGACUUUGCUUGACUAGCUGAGAGGAGGUGCAUGGCCGCCGUCAGCUCGUACCGUGAGGCGUCCUGUUAAGUCAGGCAACGAGCGAGACCCACGCCCUUAGUUACCAGCAUAUCCUUUUGGAUGAUGGGCACACUAGGGGGACCGCCUAUGAUAAAUAGGAGGAAGGAGUGGACGACGGUAGGUCCGUAUGCCCCGAAUCCUCUGGGCAACACGCGGGCUACAAUGGCUGAGACAAUGGGUUCCGACACCGAAAGGUGGAGGUAAUCCUCUAAACUUAGUCGUAGUUCGGAUUGAGGACUGUAACUCGUUCUCAUGAAGCUGGAAUGCGUAGUAAUUGCGUAUCACUAUUGCGCGGUGAAUACGUCCCUGCUCCUUGCACACACCG
rnacentral:rRNA from 1 species